GAAACGCGAUAAGUAAUGUGAAUUGCAGAAUUCAGUGAAUCAUCGAAUCUUUGAACGCACCUUGCGCUCCUUGGUAUUCCUUGGAGCAUGCCUGUUUGAGUAUCAUGAAAUCUUCAAAGUGAAUCUUUUGUUAACUCAAUUGGUUUCUACUUUGGUAUUGGAGGUCUUUGCAGCUUCACACCUGCUCCUCUUUGUUCAUUAGCUGGAUCUCAGUGUUAUGCUUGGUUCCACUCGGCGUGAUAAGUUAUCUAUCGCUGAGGACACUGUAAAAGGUGGCCAAGGUAAAUGCAGAUGAACCGCUUCUAAUAGUCCAUUGACUUGGAAAAUACUUUUAUGAUCUGAUCUCAAAUCAGGUAGGACUACCCGCUGAACUUAAGC
rnacentral:misc_RNA from 1 species